GAUGAACGCUGGCGGCGUGCCUAAUACAUGCAAGUCGAGCGAACAGAUGAGGAGCUUGCUCCUCUGACGUUAGCGGCGGACGGGUGAGUAACACGUGGAUAACCUACCUAUAAGACUGGGAUAACUUCGGGAAACCGGAGCUAAUACCGGAUAAUAUAUUGAACCGCAUGGUUCAAUAGUGAAAGACGGUUUUGCUGUCACUUAUAGAUGGAUCCGCGCCGCAUUAGCUAGUUGGUAAGGUAACGGCUUACCAAGGCAACGAUGCGUAGCCGACCCGAGAGGGUGAUCGGCCACACUGGAACUGAGACACGGUCCAGACUCCUACGGGAGGCAGCAGUAGGGAAUCUUCCGCAAUGGGCGAAAGCCUGACGGAGCAACGCCGCGUGAGUGAUGAAGGUCUUCGGAUCGUAAAACUCUGUUAUUAGGGAAGAACAAAUGUGUAAGUAACUAUGCACGUCUUGACGGUACCUAAUCAGAAAGCCACGGCUACUACGUG
rnacentral:rRNA from 1 species